rnacentral:rRNA from 1 species
UACAGAGGAGCCAAGCGUUGUCCGGAUUGACUGGGCGUAAAGCGCACGCAGGCGGUUGCGCGCGUGGGGUGUGAAAUCUGGCCGCUUAACGGCCAGGCGCCAUCCCAUACGGCGCGACUGGAGUGAUGCAGAGGUCGAUGGAAUUGCCGGUGUAGUGGUGAAAUUCGUAGAUAUUGGGAAGAACACCGGUGGCGAAGGCGGCCAUCUGGACCGUUACUGACGCUGAGGCGCGAAAGCGUGGGGAGCAAACAGG